CUCCCUCGCGCUGCUCCCCGCCUCCACAACCCCGCUCCCCACCGCCAGCCCCUGCCCACGCCCGCAGCACCGCCGCCACCACCAUUGCUGCCCGUUCCCACCGGCCACCGUGGGCAUGCCUCCUCGCUCCAUCCCAGCUCGAUCUGAGUAGGGGAAUCAAACCCCCUCGACCUCCUCUCCGUUUUGCCCCACACCCCGGCCGCCACCAUGGCCCGAGCUGCCGCCGGCCAGGGCGCCGUCGAGCUCCCCCCUCCCUCCCCUGUUUUGUCUCGAGGUAGAAGAAGGUGAGGGCGGUUUUGCCCAAAACCCCCUCCCUUCUUUUGUAUUUAAUUAAGAGCCCCCCUCUCUAUGUUAUUUUUUUCAAAUAAACCCCCCAUGUUCUCUCUAUUUAGAAAAUGAACCCUUCCACUACACAAAAUAAUUAUGGAUAAGCCCCUGCCCCUUUUUAGAAUAUUUCGGAUAUUUUCCGAAAUUCCAACUAAGUCCUUUUCUCUCCCAGAGAAUUUACAAAGAAGCCCCUCCCUAAUUCCAUAUCAAGAAUUAGCCCGUCCACCAUAUAAACAUAAUUUCAAAUAGACCCCUGCCCCUUUCUGGAAUAACACAAAUAUUUUUAGAAAUUAUAAUCAAGUCCUUCCACUCUAAAAAAUAAUUACAAAGAAGCCCUUGAACCCCGGUUUAGCCCCCUAAACCCCUCUUUAACUCAUCAUUUCAUGCGCAAAAAAUUCUCCAUUCAUCCCUAAAUUUGACCACGCCAAUUCUAAUAUUAUUUUGGCCAUGCCAUUAAAGAAUCUCCCAAAAAUAUUCUUACUACAUAUGUUUCUUAAUUCGAACUCAACGAUAAAAUCUUUAUUUUCCUUUUCUUUAUUGUGUGCUUGUUUGUGUGCGCCGUAGAUCACGGUGUGACCGAGGGAGAGCCCGUCGAGGAGUUUGCCGAGCAGUACCGCGAGCCGAAGUACGAAGGCCAGUACCGUGAGCCAGAGUCCGAGGACCUGUACCGCGAGUAGGAGUUCCCGGAAGGCUUUGGGAAUGAAGAAGAUCCGGACUUUGUUGUUGAAGACGUCGAGUAGAGGUCGCGUCCGAACCCCAACCUUGCCUGUGGUGUUGGCCCUCUGCAAGAUGAUUCUGCUAGCGCAUCACUCUGAGCCCGAGCUGGAGACUGUCUAGGUCGUGCUUUGGUGUAUCACUAUAGCUGUUUUAUUACUUAUUAUCGUUUGCAUCGAGUGUCCGUCUCCUCGGAGGUUUGUACGAUGACUGUACCAUCAAUUGAAUAAAUGUGUUAUCAACCUUCUGGAACUGAUAUUUGUAUCA